ACAGACUUAUCUUGUACUUGCUGGCCUAUUUUAUACUUAUUUUGUGUGGAUCAGGCACAGAAAAUGCUCAAAUGCAGUGCAGGAAUGAAUCUUUAAAGCAUGCUACAAUGUUUUGUUUAUUCCUCCACAUUAUCACUGCAAACUCGAUCAUCUUUCCUGGCAUUAAGAGACUCCACAGUUGCUCUACUCUCAGCACUGCCUGAUAACAGGAGAUUUGUGAAGACAUCUCUGUGCAAAAAAGAAGGGAGUGGACAGAAACAAACUUUUCACAGUGAUGCAAAAUUGUAUCAGUGAAAUCAACACAGGACCUCAGAAGAGUUGGUGAAGAGGUGAAUUUUGAAGAAAAGGCAACCUCUGACAUAAGAGGGCAUUGGGACCAUGACCAGGUCUUCACUAAGCAGUGGGCCGUGCAAAUAAGAUAUGAAAAGAGGACUGUGGAUCCAGAUCUGUGAAACCCCAUGAAAUCAGGAAUUUAUUAACAGUGGAGUAAUGAAACCUGUUUUGCCUGUGUCUCAAGGCUGGUGUUUCCAACGGAUUCCCUCAUGUGUCAAAAGGGAGAAGCUGUGGUUGCAGCCUCAGGCUAGGAGCUUGCAAGGACUGUCCUUGGCCAACGAAUGCUACUUCUGUUUUUGUCACCCUCCCAAUAGGACUGACAGACCUCCUAUCUAGAAGAACAAAAAAUAAAUUGCCAGUUCAAUGUUCAAUGGAAAAGUGUCUUUAAAGCUGCCAAUGCUACCUUCUUCUGCUGUGGAAGAUGACUUUUAAACUCAAUUUCAGAAAUAAUUAUGCCAGUUGUUGUGGAUUUUAACUGGACUCAUCCUCUUACCUUUUCUAAAGAGCAUUUUCAGGAAAUUUCAGCAUCAGAAUAGUCAGUAGCAAGCUAAUGAAAUUGACUGUACUUUGUAGAAAUAGCUUUUCUUACAAUAUGGUUAGAAUAAUUCCCCAAUCCUAUUUAAGAUUUCAUUUUCUAGCAGGGAAAAAUAUAAACAGUCUGAUGAAAGUUUAAAAAACAUGAACUCAUACCUUUUAUGGCAAAAAGGUGGGUAAUCUCUCAAAUCUUCAGGGAAAGAAGCAAGGCCUGUGCCUCAUUGGUGACUGAGCUUUGACUUGCCCCACAGUAAGAGUUACAUACAGAAUUUACUGUUAGAUAGAUCUGCCUAGUUCUUGUUUCAGAUAUAUAGGGAAACAGUUCAUUUCUGAAUCUCAGUACAAAAACCUAACUUCCUAAAUAGCUGUUUUUUUGAUUUUGCAAAAGUGUUAAAAACUGAUUCAAAAUUAGCUGCUAUAGGAGGAGAGAAGAGCUACUUUAGCAACGGGCUCAGACAUAGAUGUGGUGUGGGGAGCCUGGAAAAGGGGGGAAGGGAUGGUACAGCUCACUCUCAUGAUCCCAGUGCUUAAGCAUUGUAGUAAAUGCUGCUGAUAGCACAUUGAGAGGUGGUCUCACUUUCCUGUGGUAAAUCCCUGUUUUAGCAACUGUAGGCAAAAGGGUCAAAUAUUUAACUUGGUAUUAAAGUUAGCAAAAUAAACUAAGUUUCUUGCGCACAAAACGUAUUUGUGUAAGUAUAUCAUCCUAUCUGUCUGACAGGUCAGGAAUGGCUUAACAAAGUUUGAAACAGUUGUGCUGGAAGUGCUGAAGAGCAGGGUGCUUGA